UCUCCCAAUUUGUUUGCCAAUUCUGUAUUGUUCUUUUCACUCUUCUGCCACACUUCCCGCCCCCUCUCUCUCUCUCUCCCAUGUACAUUAAUGCUUAGACCACCACCCACCACCACAUACACCAAUUUAUGAAACCUUCCCUUCCUUUUCUUCCUACUCACUUUUCUCAUCGCUGACCCUAUUUCUUCUCUAUCUUGCUUUGGAUUUUUUACUUCGCAGCAGAAGUAAGUUAGUUUCAUAUGUACUUGAAGUUAGAGUUCCAUUACUAUUCCCAUCUUUUUAGUUUACUUCCUUGGUUACAUGAAACCUUUUCAUCAUCAUGACCUCACUUGUUUCUCCCCUCCUUAACACCUUCACAUUUCUUUUGGCCCUUUCCUUUCUUCUUCUUUCCUCUCCAACCUCUUCCCUUGUUCAGGGUUUAUAUUUUGAAGACAAAACAAGGUUGGGAUCAACUCCUCCAAGCUGCCACAACAGAUGUAAUGGAUGCCACCCUUGCAAGGCAGUUCAAGUACCUACUACACCAUUACUUAGCCAUUACCACCAAUUUCAACCACCUAGUUCGAGCAAAGCAAUCACUAAUCCCAUGGAGGUUUUUUACCCAUCAUCAGGCAGUCAAUACUCUAAUUACAAGCCCCUUGGUUGGAAAUGCCACUGUGAUGAUCACUUUUACAACCCUUGAAAAAGAUCAAGACUUUUAGCAUGUAGAAGAAAAUUGUUUAAUAGGUGAUUUUGGUGUGUUUCUGGGAAGUUUUUUCUUCAGAUUUUUAGCAUUAAUGUAUACAUUAUUGUAUCUUAUAAUCAUUAUGUACAUAACUUAAUUCUCCUCAACUUAGCUUUUGAUUUUGUCCGCUUC